AAAUUACAAAAAAUGUUUAUUUUAUUUGAAAAUGUGAAUCAGCUAAACCUUUGAAUUUUAAAGCUUCUGCUUCAAAUUAUAGUUUCGCUAACCUUGCUGAAUUAUUCAGCAUUCCAACGACCAUGCGCCAACAAUAACCAGAAAGAACCUCAAAUAACAACAGCAACAAAAGUAAGAACAACAAUAAAAGUAAACUUGAGUCGCAAGUGGAACUCGACAAUCUGAGUUGCAAGUAGAAAAGUUGUUAGUCGGUGCGCAUCAUUUGGCGAAGCUUGGCGAAAAUAUUUCGCCAUUGUUUGAUGCAAUUUGUUUGCCAGUCUGCUGGAGGAGAGGUCUGAGGAAGCUGCUCUAUUGGCGCUGGAAAGUAUGCAAUGCUUUUGAACUCUCGAUCUGUGCAAUUCAAUUGCCGCAUUUGCGGCUGUUCAUGACGGCCAGGAGAUGGGCUGGUUGGAGGGUUGGGCGUCGCAUACAGAACAAUCAGAGGCAAAUGCAAUGCCAAACAUUUAGCAUCUCUCACUUCCGCUCUUUCCCUCUCUCUUCGCUCUCGCUCUCCAUUUUCUGUAUAUUCGCCUUUGUUAGAGCGCAUUCCGCGUUUCGCUUUGAAUAAGAAGGAAAAAAUUAAAUGAAAAUUUUAGAGAAUUUCAAGAUUAUCUAUGUACUCAGCUAUAAAAACGGUUGUUCAGCUUUGCUUGGCAAAUAUAUAUUUCAUUAUGCUUCAAUUCGUCCCAGUUCAGUUCAGCAUUUCUUCCAUUUUGCGUACAUGUAAUGGAUUUUCCUAAUCCAGUUAACAAAGUAUUCAAUAAUGUUUGUGUUAAAGCUUUAAUACUGACCUUAAGGCCAAUUAAACGAAAGUUGAUUCGAAUACAA